rnacentral:rRNA from 1 species
UACGGGGGGGGCAAGCGUUGUUCGGAAUUACUGGGCGUAAAGGGCUCGUAGGCGGCCAACUAAGUCAGACGUGAAAUCCCCAGGCUUAACCUGGGAACUGCGUCUGAUACUGGAUGGCUUGAAUCCGGGAGAGGGAUGCAGAAUUCCAGGUGUAGCGGUGAAAUGCGUAGAUAUCUGGAGGAACACCGGUGGCGAAGGCGGCAUCCUGGACCAACACUGACGCUGAGGAGCGAAAGCCAGGGGAGCAAACGGG